UACGGGGGGUGCGAGCGUUGUCCGGAAUCACUGGGCGUAAAGGGCGCGUAGGUGGCCUGAUAAGGGUGUGGUGAAAUCCCUGGGCUCAACCCAGGAACUGCACUCGAAACUACUAUUCUUGAGUGUCGGAGAGGAAAGCGGAAUUCCUGGUGUAGAGGUGAAAUUCGUAGAUAUCAGGAGGAACACCAGUGGCGAAGGCGGCUUUCUGGACGAUAACUGACGCUGAGACGCGAAAGCGUGGGGAGCAAACAGG
rnacentral:rRNA from 1 species